ACACCAAGUAGAUGACGCAUAGUUUUCAGAAAAUACGACAAUCGAAAUAUUUGACUCUUCAAUGGCCUUUAAAAGUGCCGGUGAAAUUUCUUCACCUCUUCUCAGCUCCACAUCAUCUUUAUAAGUGUUGAUUCCUUUUUAAUCCAAAGCAUGGUAAAGAUGACUAGUAAAACCAUUGCUGGUAUCCUCACCGCGAAAGCUUAAGAAGACAUCGUAAUGUUGAGAGGUUAAAGAAGAGGAAUAGGAGGAGGAAGGAGAGGAAAGGACUCCCGGUAAUGCGAUGGAUAAAGACAUUUUGGAUGUAAAGUGUAAUUAGUUGGAGAUGGAUAUACCGUGGAUGACGAUUGGGCACCUUUUAUAAGUUUAAAGAAGUGGAUACCGCGUUGCAAGAGGAACUUCUUAGCAACAUUCCGGUCGGUGGAUCAUAUCGAAUUUCAAAAGCAAAGAAAUCG